rnacentral:rRNA from 1 species
CCUACGGGGGGCAGCAGUGGGGAAUAUUGCACAAUGGGGGAAACCCUGAUGCAGCGACGCCGCGUGAGCGAUGAAGUAUUUCGGUAUGUAAAGCUCUAUCAGCAGGGAAGAAAAUGACGGUACCUGACUAAGAAGCCCCGGCUAACUACGUGCCAGCAGCCGCGGUAAUACGUAGGGGGCAAGGGUUUUCCGGAUUUACUGGGGGUAAAGGGAGCCUAGACGGGUGUGCCAGGCAGAGGGGAAAGCCCGGGGCUCAACCCCGGGAAUGCCUUUGAAACUGUGUGGCUGGAGUGGCGGAGAGGCACGCGGAAUUCCCAGUGUAGCGGUGAAAUGCGUAGAUAUCAGGAGGAACCCCAGUGGCGAAGGCGGCCUGCUGGCUGAUGACUGACGUUGAGGCUCGAAAGCGUGGGGAGCAAACAGGAUUAGAUACCCGGGUAGUC